AGCCCAGACUCCGCCGUUCGCUCCCACUGUCCAGCUUUUAUCAUAAACGAACCACAGAAGUGCUCACGACGAAUAGGCCCCAAAUAACUUUCUGACUUCGUUAAAAUGCUCUGAAUGUGGUAUGGCUCAGGCACAUAACGUUGCGUUAGAAAUUCUGAUCUGUCUAGGUCGAUGGACACAGGGCAUUUUAAGAGUCCGAGGCUAAAGGAUUGGUUUGGGGGUGGGGUGGGGGAUGGGGAACGUGAUUGACAAGCCUCAGAGGAGGGAUGGGACAGGUGGUCAAGGUGGGACAAGGCUGGGGAUGAGAAGAAGCUAAGGGGGGGGGGGAUGAAUGAAAGGGAGAUUGAAGUCAGCACUGUAGCCUGCAUCCGAUCCUGUGCCCAAUGCUUUUCCCAGGCUUCUGAAACAGACUCCAUCUUUAGAGGGCAGGGGUGGUGCCCUCCUACCCAGCGUCCAGGGCCUGGUCAUGAGGAACAGGGUGUGGGUUGUUUUGGCCAGCUCCUGCUUCUCUCCCAGCCUGACCUUUCUUCCUCUGAGCUUCUUUAACCUCCACUCAGGACAGGAAGGCAGGGCCAGCUGAGAGGAAUCCACAAAGCAGGCCAAGUCUGGGCUCCUCACCCCAUCCCAGACUUCCCUUUCCUCCCCCACUGCUGGCUCUGUGUACCUCCUUUGGGGGACAGUGGCUUGAUGGUACUGACAAAGCUCUGGAGUUUAAAAGCCAGACAUCCAGCCUCUGCUGACUGACGUGCUCUGUGCCCUGGGUGGCCUCAAUGUCCUCAUCUGUACAGUAGGUCUGUAACAGCCCUCCUUUUCCAUACUUGUUGAGAAGCCAAGAGAGCUUGGGAGAAGCCAUGCACUAUCUGAACACCGUCACCAGGCAGCCCACCUGUUCUCCAGGUAGGGUCUCAAAGCCAUAGUCCAUAGAGCACACCUGCACAUACAAGAACACACACACCGUGAAACUGGGGAGUAUAGCUCAGCGGUAGAGUAUUUACCUAGCAUACACAAGGCCCUGAGUUCAAUUCCCAGCACCACAAAACCACAUCUGUGCUCUGUAGACUUGACUGGCAGGCGAUCUCAGCCCUCCGGGACUGGUCUCAGCCUUUCUUCUCCCCGAUGCUGAUGCAAACUCCCUGAAGAGGAAAUCUACGUGAGGUUGGAUGGGCACUGUUAGUGGCCCACAGUAUUUUCAGGCACUUGGACACUUCUGACUUGAGGCCACUGAAGACCUCCUAUUUCUAAAUUAACUGUAGUCAUCGGCAGAGGGUCAAGAUCAGGCCCCAGGGUGCAGAGCCACUUGUUAAAGGCCUCCUCUCUCUUCUCCACCUCUCUCUUCCCCUACCCUCCUCUCCCCCUACCCCCCUUUUGCUCUCUCAGUGCCUCAGUUUUCCCAUCUGUGAAGUGGAGGCAGCACUGGUCAGACACUCCAUUCUUUCUCCCAGGGAUGAUUUGGGAGAGGGUGAGGUCAUGUCUGGGCAGGCUGGGAGAGUGGCAGAGGCGUCCUAAGAUAAACAGCAGCCGGCCCAACUGCCUGGUAGAGCAAAGGCUGCCACAACCGCAGUUCCAUUAUCAUGGGGGAAGGGGAAAACACGCAUCUGCUGCGGAAGGCCUCGUUGCCUUGUCAUAAGGCACAUGGAAGCAAUAGAACACCGAAAGCCCUUUGUAAAGGGUGAAGGGGACACACAGAAGGCAUCUGAAGGGGGUACAGUCCUUCCCAGAGUGCUUGGGGAGGCAACCAAAAAGGUUGGAUUUCUCAAGGCCUUAGGAUAAAGAGCAGUGGUCAGAGACAGGUGGGUGAGUCUUGGACAGGAAGGGGAUAAUGAGACAGGAAAGGAGGCUGGGAUAGCCCACCUCCACGCAUGUCUUCUUUCCUCUGAGAUAGAGGACACCCCUGGAGUGGAUAGCCUUAAACAAGCGUAGUCCUACCAGUACUGAUUUCCCAGAACCUACGGGAGCAGGCCAUCUUAGGGUGCAUUCAUGCACACGUGUAUACAACCUGUGAGCAGGGGAGAUAAGGGGUAGGCAGAGUCAGGGACAUGGUGACAGAGCUGGGCAGGCAGGAUGAGCAAGGGUGUCUGGGAUGCUGGAGUCCUUUACAAUGUAGCAGAUCCUGUCUCCUGACUAAGAGACAGGUGAGAAGGGCAGUGGAGGGGGAUGGGCUGUUCAAAUAGCUCAUCUGCUGACUCGGAGGAGUCACAGCCACAGUGUAGAUGAGACACCGGCAUUUCUAGACCCUGGGACACAAAGGGGGACAAAAAAUGGGAACACUGAGACAGGCUCUCACUAUGUAACCGUCUGGCCUUGGCCUCUACCUCUGAGGCUAAGAUUAAAGGUAUGUGCCCAGCACACCACGGUCUGUGCUAUAUUUGUAACUUGAAUGUAAAUCUACAAUUAUUUUAAGAGAAAAAUGUAGGAGAGUUUUAUAAGGAAAAGGAAAAAAAAAAAAAAAAA